GUUCAUUAAAAAUUACUGACAUGAAGCAGAUUAAUAGGAGAAAAGUAUACAAAACUAUUUAAUGUGUAUACAUAGGAAAAUCACUGAGUGAUUUCCUAUCCCACAGCAUGGUUCAGGAAAAGAGAAAUUCUGUUGAGUGGAUUACUAGGAAGGAUAAAUAGAUCAGGAAACAGAAAUUAACUUGUACAUUAUCUUGUGAAAGAUUCUGUUCAGGUGUGGUUACACUUUUGGUAUUAUAAGGAGAGGAACAAAAACUUUUUUUUCUUUUGUUGGGUCUGAUCUUAGGUAGAUAAAGGCUUUGGGAGAAUCAGAGGGAAGGGGAAGGCCAGAGACAGCUUGAAGCUUCUUCAGUUCAGCAUGUCAAAAUGCCACAUUUUGGGCUAUCAACUUCUGUAUUAGUCUAUUGUGCACUGCUAUAAAGGAAUACCUGAGACUGAGUAAUUUAUAAAGAAAAAAGGUAUAUUUGGCUCAUGGCUCUGCAGGCUAUACAAGCAUUGCACCAGUAUCUGCUUGGUUUCUAUUGAGGCCUGAGAAAGCUUUUACUUUUGGCAGAAGGCAAAGGCAGAGCAGGUGUGCUCGCAGGCAUGUCACGUGGUGAGGGAGGGAAAAAGAGAGUGGGGGAGGUGCCAGCCUCCUGCUCUUGAGUGAACUAACAGAGCAAUAACUCACUCAUUAUCCUGGGUAGGGCAUAAAGCCAUUCACGAGGGAUCUGCCCCUAUGACCCAAACACCUCUUACCAAGUCCCACCUCUAAUAUAUUGGAAAUCACAUUUCAACAUGAGAUUUGAAGGGGACAAAUAUCCAUACUAUAUUAGUUUCUGUGCCCCAAUAAGAUCCAUGAGUCUUGCAGUAACUACUGAAUUACUGUACUCAUUUCUAUCUCCAACGGAUGAGGAAAGUUGGAAUAGAGUCUCCUCCUACAAGUGCAAAUGUUCCUGAGAAGAGUAAAGGUAAUAUAUGUAAAGCUGCUCUGAUGAGCAAUCAGUCAACAACAAUCAGCCAGGAGAAGGGACUGCUUCUAGGAUGAUGCCUUACCACCACUACCUUUCAGUAUAAGGUCCAGCCUAGAGUAGAGGGGGAAACAGAUAUGGAGAAAAUGACCUAAGUCCAACGCAAUUAUGCCGUUCCAGGUAUCUCUCCACCCUCUGACCCCUGGGUCACUAACCAACAGCCGAGAGAAGAUGAUCCCUUGUGGAGGGUGGCUAACCUCACAGCAUGUAUAGGAUUAGGAUGAUGAAACUCCCAUGGGGCCAGCCACAGCAGUAACCAGACUCAGAAAUGGACAUUCUUCACACUGAGCUGCAUUAACCCAGGGAGAAGAAGAGGAGAGGCAACACGCCAUAUUUUCUAAUGAGUUAAAGCCUAAUUUAAUCUGGAAAUAACUAAUGUUGACUAGUGUGUUUCCCCUAAAAUAAUUGCCUCUGAUGGUCAAUUUUAUAGCUAAACCUAAAAAAGAUGAUUUAGGAAACACUGAGAAGUUCAUCCCUCUUCCCACAAUAAAAAUAUACUUUGCAAUUUAUUAUUACAACUAUCUUUCAAGUUAUUUCCGUGGGUCUAUGUUAUUUUGAGAAACACAGAUUACCCAAAGAAUCUUACUUAACCAGUCAGUGACAUCAGUGACAUUCAGAAUCAAGUGUAUAAGGUUAUAUAUCUAUUUAUCAAUAUUUAUUUUAGUCCAUCAGCUGAUCAUAAAAUAAUAAAGGGCUUCCUCUUUAUUCUACUCCUUGGUAUACCUUAUAAAUUCAAUCCUACUUUCCCUUCAUUUCGCUUUCCCCAAAAUUUUCACUAUGAUUGAAAUUACAUUUACUAUAGCACAUGAAGUCUUUACAAAGGCACCUUUUUCUUCUGUUUUUGCUCACUGUUCACAGUGUAGAAUGUCUAGUAUCCCAUUAAAGUGCUCAAUAAUAAAUGCCUAUCAUACCCAAGGAAUUGUAUGAUCCAAAUGGUGUAAAUAGAUAAAUAUUGUACCCUUUACAUCCAUGGAGAAAAAUUCACUUUGGAGAUUUAUACAGUGGUAUUUCCAGCUCCUAACCCUUUGGAUUCUACAUGCAUUUCCUCCCACUAACUGAUCCACACAUAAUAGAUCCUUCAGCCUGUUAGCAGUGCCCCACUCCUUGAACAUACACUAUGCUCUCUUUUUUUGUUGAAUUUUCUCUUCACUAACAUCCUAUUUAAAACCCAGUCAGCCCUUUAAAAUCUGGCUCAAAUUGGGCUCUAGAUCAAUACAAGUAAAUCUAUCUAAUCAAACACAAAUCUGCUUAAUGCUUAAUUCACCUAAGGAACUAUUUGAAAAAUUUAUUUUGGUAAAACAUAUAACAUUUUCUAUAUAAUGGAUGACUUUUAUCUUUUGGGAAUUUUUGUAUUUUGUAUAUUUGUAUUUUGUAUUUGUAUAUUUGUAUUUUUGUAUAUUUGUAUUUUGCGUGUUUUAAAAAUUUCAGAAUUAUUUAUUCAAUUUACCUAAAUCAUUUCAGCCUUGAUUCCACAUUUUCAGUAUUAUUCAGUUUAAUGCAUUAUGUUGACAAUAAAAUUAUUUAUUUCAAUGUAUU
rnacentral:lncRNA from 10 species